rnacentral:rRNA from 2 species
UACCCACAGAGGAAGCCACGGCUAACUACGUGCCAGCAGCCGCGGUAAUACGUAGGUGGCAAGCGUUGUCCGGAAUUACUGGGUGUAAAGGGAGCGUAGGCGGGAGAUCAAGUUGGAUGUGUAAUACCGGGGCUUAACCCCGGAACUGCAUUCAAAACUGGUUUUCUUGAGUGAGGUAGAGGCAGGCGGAAUUCCUAGUGUAGCGGUGAAAUGCGUAGAUAUUAGGAGGAACACCAGUGGCGAAGGCGGCCUGCUGGGCCUUAACUGACGCUGAGGCUCGAAAGCGUGGGGAGCAAACAGGAUUAGAUACCCUGGUAGUCCACGCCGUAAACGAUGAUUACUAGGUGUAGGAGGUUUAACCCCUUCUGUGCCGGAGUUAACACAUUAAGUAAUCCACCUGGGGAGUACGGCCGCAAGGCUGAAACU